CACGUAUUUAGCCGGAGCUUCUUAGUCAGGUACCGUCAUUUUCUUCCCUGCUGAUAGAGCUUUACAUACCGAAAUACUUCUUCACUCACGCGGCGUUGCUGCGUCAGGGUUUCCCCCAUUGUGCAAUAUUCCCCACUGCUGCCUCCCGUAGGAGUUUGGGCCGUGUCUCAGUCCCAAUGUGGCCGUUCACUCUCUCAAGCCGGCUACUGAUCGUUGUCUUGGUAGGCCGUUACCCUGCCCAACUAACUAAUCAGACGCGGGCCCAUCCUGUACCACCGGAGUUUUUCCUGCUGUACCAUGCGGUACUGUAGGCUUAUGCGGUAUUAGCAGCCGUUUCCAGCUGUUGUCCCCCUGUACAGGGCAGGUUACCCACGCGUUACUCACCCGUCCGCCACUCAGUCCUGCGCGUCUCCCUCCGGAGAGUUCCGUCACACAGUUCUUCGUUCGACUUGCAUGUGUUAGGCACGCCGCAGCUUCGACUCUGAGCCAGGAUACGAAACUCU
rnacentral:rRNA from 1 species